rnacentral:tRNA from 1 species
CCCUAGUGGCCUCAGCUGGUAAAGAAUCCACCUGCAAUGUGGGAGACCUGGGUUCGAUCCCUGGACUGGGAA